AGGACGAACGCUGGCGGCGUGCUUAACACAUGCAAGUCGAGCGGUAAGGCCUUUCGGGGUACACGAGCGGCGAACGGGUGAGUAACACGUGGGUGAUCUGCCCUGCACUUCGGGAUAAGCCUGGGAAACUGGGUCUAAUACCGGAUAUGACCUCCUAUCGCAUGGUGGGUGGUGGAAAGAUUUAUCGGUGCAGGAUGGGCCCGCGGCCUAUCAGCUUGUUGGUGGGGUAAUGGCCUACCAAGGCGACGACGGGUAGCCGACUGAGAGGGUGACCGGCCACACUGGGACUGAGACACGGCCCAGACUCCACGGGAGCAGCAGGUGGGAAUAUGCAACAAUGGGACGAAAGCCUGAUGCAGCGACGCCGCGUGGAGGAUGGACGGCCGUUUCGGGUUGUAAACCUUCUUCAGCAGGGACAAGCGCAAGUGACGGUCGACCUGACAAGAAGAAGCCGAACCGGUACUAACUACGGUCACCGAGC
rnacentral:rRNA from 1 species